GGGGAUGUUUUGGCUUCGACGGGGGUAAGAGAGGUUUGGUAAGCGAGUAGAGUGAAGCAUGUAAACUCUUUAAUCGAGUAUGCAAAAUUAUAAACGCUGAAGAUAAUUUCGCGUUAGCAGCUUAAUUUAGCCGCUCAUCUGUCCCGAUUCCUACGAUUGGGGUUGCAGGUGUCAUUAAGUAGGGAACCGCACUUAGCAAAGCUUUGAGCUAUGGACGGAAUUUAUGAAGCUACCAUAGGGUUGAUUCAGUUACUGGAAGCCUCCUGAGGAAAACGUAAAGCAGAUAACUACACUCGUAGAAAGCCUUACUAAUCUACUUCCGGACACGGGUUCGAAACCCGUCAUCUCCACCA
rnacentral:tmRNA from 1 species